UACGUAGGGUGCAAGCGUUAAUCGGAAUUACUGGGCGUAAAGCGCGUGUAGGCGGCUCUUCAAGUCAGGCGUGAAAGCCCCGGGCUCAACUCGGGAACUGCGCUUGAUACUGUCGAGCUAGAGUGUGGAAGGGGCGAUUGGAAUUCCGUGUGUAGCGGUGAAAUGCGUAGAUAUACGGAGGAACACCAGAGGCGAAGGCGGAUCGCUGGGCCAACACUGACGCUGAGACGCGAAAGCUAGGGUAGCAAACGGG
rnacentral:rRNA from 1 species